AGACAAUGGGAUUCCUUGAGUAAUUGCGAAUGAACAAGGAAAUGCUCACCUUGGAAAACUGGGUACCUUGGUCCCCUGAAUUGUAUUUUUGAAAUGUAUUACCAACUGGAUGUGCAGGUGCAAGCCUAUUGAAAGAAAGUGCCAUUGUGGGUGACAUUCCUUUUGCCAACUGUAAUCUUCCAUGCACGGUGUACAUUUAAUGAGUCACAUUCCUUGGCAUUGGAAUGCAAAUGUGGUGGUAAAUUCCAUGUAAAGGAAAAUAUGUCAUUGAGACUGAUAGCAAACAAGUACCAUGAGGGAGAUAUGAAAAGGACUUUGAAAAGAGAAUUAAAAGAGCCUGAAAUUGUUGAGCAGAAAGCAAACAGACAUGUGCACAAUGGUAAGACUGCUGCAUUCCUUCCUGCAGAUUGUGUGUGGAAGUGUGUGCAAUGGUUCUUGCGUUGAACACCAGCUUUGCUACUUGAAAUCAUUAUUCAUGUGUAUGAAUGAAAAUUUGUUUUCGGGCAAUGCAACGCAUGCAUAUGAUAUGAUGUUGGGUUGCUUUGUGGCACAUGGCCUGGCUUGGUGCACUUGGAUUAGGAAGGGUGCCCUUCCUGUGUGUCGCUCAUGACUUUGUGUUUUGUUGCUGGAAAUUGGUUCUGCUUGACCCGUCUUGAAACACGGACCAAGGAGUCUAACAGAUGUGCAAGCUUGUGGGUGGAAUGCCUUCUGGCGCAAUGAAAGCAUUUGCUGGGAUUCUUGCACCAGCAGCCGACUGAUUAAUGGAGAGAGGUUUGAGUUUGAGCACAUCUAUUAGGACUCGAAAGAUGGUGAACUAUGCCUGAUUAGAAUGAAUUCAGAGGAAACUCUGGUGAAGGUUCGUAUCGUUACUGACGUGCAAAUCGUUCGUCAUACUUGGGUAUAGGGGCGAAAGACUAAUCGAACCAUCUAGUAGCUGGUUCCCUCCGAAGUUUCCCUCAGGAUAGCUGAUUUUGAAAAAGUCUUAUCAGGUAAAGCGAAUGAUAAGAGGAAUUGGGGGCGUGCUGUUCUUGACCUAUUCUCAAACUUUAAAUGGGUAAGAAGCAAUGGUUGCUUUAAUGAACCUUUGGAACAGAUGAUAUUUUCAGGUGGGCCAUUUUUGGUAAGCAGAACUGGCGAUGAGGGAUGAACCUAUCGUUGGGUUAAGGUGCUUAAUGGCUCGCUCACGAGAUACCAGAAAGGGUGUUGCUUCAUUUUAACAGCAGGACGGUGGUCAUGGAAGUCGGAAUCCGCUAAGGAGUGUGUAACAACUCCCCUGCCGAAUGGACUAACCCCGAAAAUGGAUGGCGCUAAAGCGGGUGGCUGGUACCCAACCAUUGGUGCAAUAACAUUGCCCAGUGUGUAGGGGGGCAUGAUGGUUUGUGAUGCAGCCUGUGGCGAAAGUCC
rnacentral:rRNA from 1 species